UACGUAGGGGGCAAGCGUUGUCCGGAAUUAUUGGGCGUUAAAGAGCUCGUAGGCGGUCUGUUGCGUCCGCUGUGAAAACUCGGGGCUUAACCCCGAGCCUGCAGUGGAUACGGGCAGACUAGAGGUAGGUAGGGGAGAAUGGAAUUCCCGGUGUAGGCGGUGAAAUGGCGCAGAGUAUCGGGAAGGAACACCGGUGGCGAAGGCGGUUCUGCUGG
rnacentral:rRNA from 1 species